CAGGUGUGCCAGUGAUUGUAAUAAUUGUGCCAAUCAAGAUAUUAUUAGAGAGUUGUUAGUUGGUGAGUGUUCAAUCUAGUUGGGCUCAACUGAGUGAGUAUUUAGUCAUGUAGAGUUUUUUGCCGAGUUGAGUGGCUAGUUGGUCGAUUAUCAUUGAAGUUGAGUGUGGUGCAAGCGCACACCUCCUCUAACCAUGUGGUUUUUGUGUCCAGUUUUCACUAAAAAGCUUGAGCUAGCACCUUGUUACUUUCCUUCUAAUAAUAUAUGCGACAACAAAGCUUUUAUUGUCCGUUCAAAAAAUUUAUCUCCACCUUGUAUGAAGUUGACUUAUAUAUAGAGUUAACAUAUGCCUCGUUGAGGGUGUCCUAGCUAAGACGCUACGAAAUAUGAACAUAGAAAGAAAUGAACUAUCAUUUCGUCUCAAAUAGUUCUAUCCUGAGCACACAAAACAAUAUUAAGUAGUGUCAUGUAGAAAAAAAAAAGAAUCAAAAGCAAAAUAUGAUAUCCCAAUCGUGAGGCCAACAAUGAACGGCAGUACAUACAAAACAUAAGAACUCCAAGUUCACCCGCUGCAUAUACACGUCAGAUCCAUCUGGGUCUUGAACAUUACGGUCAAUUAAUAGUUCCAUAUACCGUGGGGAAAUUGUAUGGUUGGCAUUCAACAUAGAACAAUUAUAAAUUACUAUAAGAUACCAUCGUCGCGUCAAAGGAAACAAAAAUAAUUAUAUAUAUCAUCUAGUAGGGAAAUUUAAAUCACUCUCGCGAUAUGUAAACCACAUGCUCUGUGGUGGAGCUAGCGCCAGGUGUAGAGGAAGAUAUUCUAGAAUACUGUCUGAACAAAUAUAAUUGCGGAAAUCUAGUCCCGGUCUGGACGUGGUCUUAUUGACUGAAGACAAUAAUUUUCUGAGUUUAAUUUGAAGUAUAUGAUCAAUCAAACAGUCGUCGUACGUCCGGCCA
rnacentral:lncRNA from 1 species